rnacentral:rRNA from 1 species
GCGACUAAGCGUACACGGUGGAUGCCCUGGCAGUCAGAGGCGAUGAAGGACGUGCUAAUCUGCGAUAAGCGUCGGUGAGGUGAUAUGAACCGUUAUAACCGGCGAUUUCCGAAUGGGGAAACCCAGUGUGUUUCGACACACUAUCAUUAACUGAAUCCAUAGGUUAAUGAGGCGAACCGGGGGAACUGAAACAUCUAAGUACCCCGAGGAAA